AAAUUGAAGAGUUUGAUCAUGGCUCAGAUUGAACGCUGGCGGCAGGCCUAACACAUGCAAGUCGAACGGUAACAGGAAGCAGCUUGCUGCUUCGCUGACGAGUGGCGGACGGGUGAGUAAUGUCUGGGAAACUGCCUGAUGGAGGGGGAUAACUACUGGAAACGGUGGCUAAUACCGCAUAACGUCGCAAGACCAAAGAGGGGGACCUUCGGGCCUCUUGCCAUCAGAUGUGCCCAGAUGGGAUUAGCUUGUUGGUGAGGUAACGGCUCACCAAGGCGACGAUCCCUAGCUGGUCUGAGAGGAUGACCAGCCACACUGGAACUGAGACACGGUCCAGACUCCUACGGGAGGCAGCAGUGGGGAAUAUUGCACAAUGGGCGCAAGCCUGAUGCAGCCAUGCCGCGUGUAUGAAGAAGGCCUUCGGGUUGUAAAGUACUUUCAGCGGGGAGGAAGGUGUUGCGGUUAAUAACCGCAGCAAUUGACGUUACCCGCAGAAGAAGCACCGGCUAACUCCGUGCCAGCAGCCGCGGUAAUACGGAGGGUGCAAGCGUUAAUCGGAAUUACUGGGCGUAAAGCGCACG
rnacentral:rRNA from 2 species